CCUACGGGAGGCAGCAGUGAGGAAUAUUGGUCAAUGGACGAGAGUCUGAACCAGCAAAGUAGCGUGAAGGAUGACUGCCCUAUGGGUUGUAAACUUCUUUUAUAAAGGAAUAAAACGAGGCACGUGUGCCUUUUUGCAUGUACUUUAUGAAUAAGGAUCGGCUAACUCCGUGCCAGCAGCCGCGGUAAUACGGAGGAUCCGAGCGUUAUCCGGAUUUAUUGGGUUUAAAGGGAGCGUAGAUGGGUUGUUAAGUCAGUUGUGAAAGUUUGCGGCUCAACCGUAAAAUUGCAAUUGAUACUGGCAGUCGUGAGUACAGUUGAGGUAGGCGGAAUUCGUGGUGUAGCGGUGAAAUGCUUAGAUAUCACGAAGAACCCCGAUUGCGAAGGCAGCUUACUAAACUGUGACUGACAUUGAUGCUCGAAAGUGUGGGUAUCAAACAGGAUUAGAUACCCGAGUAGUC
rnacentral:rRNA from 1 species